UACACGAAUAACCUCUGAAUAGGAGAUCUGCUUGUUCGUUGAAGGAUACGAUGCAGGGGAACAACAAGGCGGUCGUGCUCCUGGUUGUUAUCCUCGCAUGUACCACAAUGCUUGCACAAUCUCGAACAAUCGACCACAUGGAUAGCAGGAAGCUCGAAUUGUGUUCAUGCUAUAAACGAGUUGAUGCUGAGCCCUGCAUACACUACAAUAAGUGUUUCUGCUGUGACAUAUAUCCAGAUAGCUGCGCUGCGACUAAAGCAGAGUGCAUAAGAUUUUGUGAUGAUGAUAGAAUAUGCCGGCCAUGAGACACCUUCAAAUGGCCACGAGCGUGUACUUCAUACUGUACGUGAUAAGAAAUAAGAAUAAUGUCAUGACUACUUUUUUGGACUGAUGAGAUACAAUGUCAUGACGGCAUCUGCAUAUGAUUCA